UUUUUGGAGACUAUUAUAAUUUUAGGGUUCAUAAAAAAAUUAUGUUUCUAAAAUUGGUUUACAAGAAGCUAAUCUUUUAAGCAGUUAGUUUUCCCUUCUCUUUAUUAUCUCAAUUGCAAGUUUAUAACACUAAUCUGAACUCAUGUAAUUACUAAUUAUUAUUUUUUCACAUCCGAAACCCUAGAUUUUUUUGCUUAAUCUGUUGAUUUUAACAGUAAUUGCUCCUAAACUAAUGUUCUUGAUGACUAUUAUGAAUGAUUGAAGCUAAUUUUGUUUGUGAAAACAUACUGUUAUUGUUCUUUUGAAAAGAAUCUGAAUGAUUCUUACUGUAAAAUUAUUAGUUUGUAUUGAAUCGGUAAAAACCGAUGGAAAAACCUUAACUGAUCGAGCUAAGUCGGACUGGUUAAAACCGAACCGAAAGUUGGUCUGUUCGGUCACAGUUUCAAUUUUGAAAACCGGCCAUAGGUCGGCUCGGUGGACGGUUUUGGCCAAAAAAUCGGGUCGUGUAGGCCUAGAUAGAGCAGAUAUAGUGAUUGGGGGGAACUUUAAAAAAAAUAAGUAUUGAUUCUGAAAAAUAAAUUUGUUUUGAACUGUUAAGUUCUCUGUUUCAUAUAAUAUUAUUCUUCUUUUGUAAAUUGAGUACAUAUUUGAUAUAUAUUGAAAAGGAAAAUGCGUCCAUUUUUUGAUGCACCGUCUAAUUCGGUACAUUUUUUGAUCUAAAUCCACCUGUUUUUUCAUGGUACAUAUCAGAUUGGUGACAUUCUUUUGUGAUCUACAUGGUAUUCAUAGUAGUCAGAUUCUUUGUGUCGUGCUGAUUCUUUUGGCUUACAUCUUGUCCUGUAUUUUAAGCCUCAUCGUCAAGUUUUCCAGGACAUUAGAUUGUCCACGGGAAGUGAAAGCAGUUUUUUAAUUCAACGAUUAAUUGGUAUUCUUAUAAUGGUUCUCAUAUUUUCUUUUCAUUCGCUGCCCAGUACUUCAGUAGUCAAGUUCAAUGUAUAUGGAGGCCAGUAGUCAGAUAAUUCCAUAUAAGAUCAUUUUGCUUGGCCUCGUUGUAGUAGAGAGUCUAAAUGUAAUUUCCACUUCUGGACAUCGCGACAUAUGGUUUUGGGACUUACAGCUGUAGAUGGGGAAAAACGAUUUGCUGGUUUUUUAAGGAAUUGAGGAGACGACCGUACGGAGGAGACUCCUCGAACGGAGCGAAAUGUUAAACCUUACACAGAUGCAUCGUUGCAAAGGGGUGCUUUAGAUUCGAGAGAUCAAUCUGUAGUACUCCGGCCUAAAUCAAGACAAUGACCGUUCCAGAGUAAAUUCGGUCACAAGAGAGGAUGGGUUGAUCUGUAGGAGGGAAGCUGAGAAAUGUGUGGAAUCAAUGGUAAUCAAAGAUUGUGGGUGUGUGAAUUCCGAAUACGAUAAGCUCUGAGUGAUU